rnacentral:rRNA from 1 species
UACGUAGGGUGCAAGCGUUGUCCGGAAUUAUUGGGCGUAAAGAGCGUGUAGGCGGCCCGGUAAGUCCGCUGUAAAAGUCCAGGGCUCAACCCUGGAAAGCCGGUGGAUACUGUCGGGCUAGAGUCCGGAAGAGGCGAGUGGAAUUCCUGGUGUAGCGGUGGAAUGCGCAGAUAUCAGGAGGAACACCGAUGGCGAAGGCAGCUCGCUGGGACGGUACUGACGCUGAGGCGCGAAAGCGUGGGGAGCGAACAGG